CCUGGGGGCGAGGCCUCCCACCAUCAGUCUGGGAUCUGCAGGAGCAGGAUGCAGGCCUCCCUCUGGAUGGCUCCCUUCCAGUGGCACAGAGACCAGCUCACCUCCAAUGACAAGGAAGAGUAUCAGCAUGACGGGAUAGAAGAACCCCAGGACGAAGCAGAAGAUAUACUCAUGGGCCACUGCGGAGACCAGGAACACACCCAGCAUGGCUACCCCUCGGGCCCGGGCACCAAGGAGCUGGCAGGGUGAGGAAAGGAGUGAAGAGUGCUGCCUCCAAGGCCCCGAAACAGAGAGUGCUACUGCGAACAAAUCAACCUCUUCCACUCCACUGCUGCUUUUGGUGCCCCAUAACGACGACCCCCUCUCAGCAGGAAGUAGCCAGAAAGAUUACGACUCCCCAUCUCCCUGCGAUUCUCAUGAUAAAUAAAUAUCCAUGCAUGAUAAAAAUCGUGUAAAUUGACAGUGGGGACUGUGACAAGCAGGUCUCACUAAUGCAGACCUCCAUAACAACUGUUUCAGUACUGACUGAGUGGUUAAGUUAAAUGUUAAAAACCAGUGCCCUUAUACAAAGGCUGGAAUGUAACAAAAGCCCACCAAGAGUUUUGCCUAGGCCUUUCCUGAACCUCAAAGCAUGAUUAAACAAGUUUUGCUGGGGGUCUGAAGAAACUCCCCAAACCUCCGUUAUUUAGCAGGAGAUAAGAGAAGGGUAAUCACCCCAGCACUUGGACCCAUUUAGAUUAAGUAAACUUACUGAGGCUCCAGAAGAAGGUCUUCAAGACUCAGACCUUAGUUAUAGAUUAAAAGAAGUUAAUCACUUAUGUCUUUAGAUGAAUGCACACCUACACAUAGAUGUAGAGCUUAGAAGGUAUAUAUGCUCUGGAAAUUGUAAUUUUUAGUUGGCCUGGUGAUAAUUUCCAGGCCUUCUCCCUGUAACUGGUUACAGAAAUAAAAACUCACUUCCUCCCCAGUUCAUCUGCAUCUCGUUAUUGGGCCAUGAGAAAUAGCAGCCCCAACCCUCAGUUUGGUCUGGGAAUAGUGGGAGGUAUGAAAAUACAGACCCCCAGGGGUAUACAGCUCUCUGAGGCUCAUCCUCACAGUUGGAU
rnacentral:lncRNA from 1 species